CCUACGGGUGGCAGCAGUGGGGAAUAUUGCACAAUGGGGGAAACCCUGCUGCAGCGACGCCGCGUGAGUGAAGAAGUAUUUCGGUACGUAAAGCUCUAUCAGCAGGGAAGCAAAUGACGGUACCUGACUAAGAAGCCCCGGCUAACUACGUGCCAGCAGCCGCGGUAAUACGUAGGGGGCAAGCGUUAUCCGGAUUUACUGGGUGUAAAGGGAGCGUAGACGGCAGCGCAAGUCUGGAGGGAAAUCCCAUGGCUGAACCAUGGAACUGCUUGUGAAACUGUGCAGCUGGAGUGCAGGAGAGGUAGGCGGAAGUCCUGGUGUAGCGAUGAAAUGCGUAGAGAUUAGGAGGAACACCAGUGGCGAAGGCGGCUUACUGGACUGUAACUGACGUUGAGGCUCGAAAGCGUGGGGAGCAAACAGGAUUAGAUACCCUUGUAGUC
rnacentral:rRNA from 1 species